rnacentral:lncRNA from 1 species
CCUCAAACUACGACGCUCAUGACACUUUUCUCAACUUUUAAUUUAUUAUAAUUGCUGAUUCGAACUUUAUAAAUUAUUAUAACUAAAUCUCUCAACAUAAUUUAAUGGACUAAAUUGAUAGAUCUGAAAAACGAUAUAGUGUUCUAAUUACUAUCACUUUAUGUAUCAUAAUACUAUUACAUUACUUCAGCAUCAACAACACCUCAAUAUUUAAUCAACUAAAUUAGAUUAUAAAAUUUAAUUAUAAUAAUUUAAAACUUUUGAAUAAGAAAUGAAAAAAUAAAACUUGAGAACCAAAAUAUCU